rnacentral:ncRNA from 2 species
CGUAACAAGGUUUCCGUAGGU